rnacentral:rRNA from 1 species
AGCAAUAUAUUGGAUGACGACCGGCGUAUGGGUGAGUAACACGUACGUAAUCUGCCCCAUAUAGAAGGAUAACUACCUAGAAAUGGGAACUAAUACUUACAUACAGUCUUAAGGGGAAUCCUUUAAGAUGAAAGAUUUAUCGAUAUGGGAUGAGCGUGCGCUCUAUUAGUUAGUUGGUGAGGUAAUGGCUCACCAAGACGAUGAUGGAUAGGGGUUCUGAGAGGAAGGUCCCCACAUUGGCACUGAAAUACGGGCCAGACUCCUACGGGAGGCAGCAGUAGGGAAUAUUGGUCAAUGGACGCAAGUCUGAACCAGCCAUGCCGCGUGAUGGAUGAAGGUCCUAUGGAUUGUAAACAUCUUUUUGUAUAAGAAUAAAAAUAAUCUUGCGAGGUUAAAUGAAUGUAUUAUACGAAUAAAUACCGGCUAACUCCGUGCCAGCAGCUGC